rnacentral:piRNA from 1 species
UGCCGUUCGUUCCUUGCCGUGAUGUACGUC